rnacentral:rRNA from 1 species
GACGAACGCUGGCGGCGUGCUUAACACAUGCAAGUCGAACGGAAAGGCCCUGCUUGCAGGGUACUCGAGUGGCGAACGGGUGAGUAACACGUGGGUGAUCUGCCCUGCACUUCGGGAUAAGCCUGGGAAACUGGGUCUAAUACCGGAUAGGAGCCAUUUUUAGUGUGAUGGUUGGAAAGUUUUUUCGGUGUAGGAUGAGCUCGCGGCCUAUCCGCUUGUUGGUGGGGUAAUGGCCUACCAAGGCGGCGACGGGUAGCCGGCCUGAGAGGGUGGACGGCCACAUUGGGACUGAGAUACGGCCCCGACUCCUACGGGAGGCAGCAGUGGGGAAUAUUGCACAAUGGGCGCAAGCCUGAUGCAGAGACGCCGCGUGGGGGAUGACGGCCUUCGGGUUGUAAACUCCUUUCGCUAGGGACGAAGCUUUUUGUGACGGUACCUAGAUAAGAAGCACCGGCUAACUACGUG